CCUUGCUGACGGGACAAGAGAAGACCUCCUUUCGUCAGAGAGUCAGCAGGGCAUGGAAGCAUAUCGGGGGAAAGAUUCGUAACCACUAUAGCCAUUUGAGUACUCUGCGGAGUAGGCUGCGCAGUACGUUGGGCCCACUUGUCGGGGCCCCAACGUCCUAUGUAUCCGCACCCCUUGAUCUAUAAAAGGGGGGCGCCCGCUAGAAGAAAGGACGGGCUGGGUGAAAGCCAAGACCCGGCGGAGGAUAGGUUUAUACACAACCAAGAACAAUACUUCUCCUAGUGGACGUAGGGUAUUACGCUCCGGCGGCCCGAACCACUCUAAAACGUGUGUUCUUGUGUGAUUGUCUCAAAGCUAGAUCAGCCCAAUCGCCAAAGUACUUCCCCGAGUCCUUCCUCACUGGGAAUAGACGGGUGCGCUCCGCCACUCGACUGUGGGUACCCUAGAAAUCCCACAACACCAUGGGAACGGACCAACUUGCUGCAACAACUCAGAUUUCGACAUGGCAAAGGUCUGCUUGUGCUAAACUUAAACGGAACCAACGCCAACACGGCCUCCAUAACGCUGUACUAGCGCUGUUGUGUGUUUGCCAGAUCUCAAACCUGACGACGGAGCUUCAGAAGUACUGGCCCUCACUGUACUGCAGCUCGCCAUCUCUCUGCUCCGGGGGCCAUGGAUCUCUGUGGGCGCAUGAGGUAACGGACUGACCGGAAACCAGUCCUGGACUCCAGUUCUUGUAGCGUUUCAGGCUUGCAGCUAUGUUCAUAGGUUCAUAACAUCUCAUCAUCAUCCUCUGAUGCAUGUCAUGGCCGCAUGGGUGUGCACGGCCGUCUACUUUGUUUCGGCAGUGGGGUAAUAUGCAUCCAGAUUCUCAAAGAACCCACUUCAUUAGUUCAUUUCAUCGCGUUAUUUCGUAUCGAUAAUUCGAUUUCACUGAAAAUUUCACACGAACAGAAGUAAAAUUUUCUCGUUUCAGAAAAGCACGGGACAUGCUCGUACCCUGUGAUCCAGGACGAAUACAGCUACUUCUCUACAACCCUGCACCUGUACUCCAGCUACAAUGUCACGGCUAUGCUGGCAAGCAAGAUUAGCAUAGGCGCAGAUGAUGGCGGCAGGUAUCUUGUGGCAGACCUGAUUGGCACCAUCAGAAGCUCCUUUGGAGCGUCCCCUCUGUUGCUGUGUGAGGGAGGAUCGUUGCAGGAGCUCAGCCUCUUGACUGCAUAAAUGGAGGAAAUGGCAGUGAGUAUGAUAUAACAGAACAUGGCCGGUAUUGUCCGAGGUACAUCAGCCUGCCUUCUUAUAAACCUCGUGGUGGUGACACCAGUGGAGCCACGAGAAGGUUUUCCUCAAACAUAAUGCUGGCCUUCUUUGAUGCAUUCUAGUGUGAAGAAAUCAGAAAUCGCUGGAUACCACGCGCGCUUGCAAAUCACUGAUUUUGGUGUACGGUUUUAGCACCAUGUGUAAAGCAUGAGGAUGUCCCUCGAAAAAAGCAUGAGGAUGAUAUAUAUACAAAGUCUACAGUGCAUCAUUCAACUACCAUCUAAAGUACAAUUUUCGACCUGAAACUCUAAAAUAUCAUUUAUUUUCCCUUCAAGUCUCAAAACCAGUGAAAACAAUCCGUU